rnacentral:rRNA from 1 species
AUGGACGCGGCCAUGGCGCUGGCCACGGUCUUCUUCUGCCUCCUGCUGCUCGCCUCAGCCGCCAUCUCGCUCCUCCUCCUCCGCCUCUGCGUGGCCGCGCUCCGCCGCGCCCCCGCGCGCGCCCCCUACGCCGCCGUCGACCCGGAGGCGGCCGCGCGGGCGGCGCCACCGCCGGUGCCGCAGCAGGAGCUGCCCCUUCCGGUUCCGGCGGCGUGGGCGAGGCCCAAGGCGCCGGAGCCCCGGCGGCUGGCGUGGCGGGAGGUGGAGGCGCUGACGGGCGGGUUCGACGAGGCGGCCGUGGUGGGCUGCGGCGGCUCGGGUGGCGCCGUGUACCUGUCGAGGAUCCCCGUCGCGGCCGGCGGGCCGCCGGCCGCCGUGAAGGUGCACCGCUGGUGCGGCGGCGGCGAGCGCCGGCUCGGCGCGUUCCGGCGCGAGCUCGACCUGCUCCGCCGCGUCGGCCGCCACCCGCGCCUCGUCGCCCUCCUCGCUUACUCCGACGACCACGAGGAGGGAGGCGCGCUGGUGCUGGAGUACAUGCCGGGCGGCACGCUGGCGGACCGUCUCCACCACGCCGCCACGCCGCCGCUCACCUGGCGCCACCGCAUGCGCGUGCUCCACGACGUGGCCGCCGCGCUGGAGCACCUCCACGACGCCAUCUCCGUCGUGCACGGCGACGUGUCGGCCUCCAACGUGCUCCUCGACGGCGGCGGCCGCGCGCGGCUCUGCGACCUGGGGUCGGCCUGCGAGGGCACCUUCUCGGCGGCCGUGGCGCCGGCCCGGGGCGCGGCGGCCGUCGGCUCGCCGGGCUACGCCGACCCCUUCUUCCUCCGCACCGGCAUCGUGUCCAAGAAGUCCGACGUGUACGGCUUCGGCGUGCUGCUCCUCGAGGCCCUCACCGGCUCGCCGGCCGCCGGCACGCCGGGCCCGGACGGCAGCAGCCAGUACCUCGCGGCGAGGGUGAUGCCGCGCUUGAGGGCAGCCGGGGCGGCGGGGCUCGUGGACGGCAGGCUGGGCGGCGACUAUGAUGCUGUGGAGGCCGGCGACGUCGCGCGGGUCGCCGUGGAGUGCGUGGCGCCGCAGCCGGGGCUCCGGCCGACCAUGGCGCAGGUGCGGGCCGCCGUCGCGGAGAAGGCGGCGAGGUCCCUCGCGGCGACGGACGGCGGCGAGAGCGACCUCAAGUUGCUCGACUUGUUCCGCAUGGCCAGCUAG